rnacentral:lncRNA from 1 species
UAUUUUCUUGAUUUUGUAUCCAAAAAUAAAAGGAGAGAGAACACCUUGGUUUUUAUUGUGAGAAUGUAGUUGACUCUUAGCUAUUAAUAGACAAAUAAAUACACAUAUUAAAUAAGAUGGCUGCAAUGUUAGUUACUGUAAUCCAAGCAUGAUAACUUAUGAUGUGGUAUCAGAACCAUCAUUUGUCUUUUGAUCAUAUACUGGCCCUGAUAACAUAAUUUUGCUAUUUGAGUUGUAUGUAUCCGUUUCUCAUGGUAUGAAGGAAACACUAACACUAGGAUCAGAGCCAUUCUCACACAGAGAUAAGAGUUUGUUUUCAGCAAAACCAUCUGAGGAAGCUUCUAACCUUCUAAUUACAUCU